rnacentral:tRNA from 1 species
UUCAUUGAUUGGGAAAUGGGUUAUGGCUUCGGUUAGCACCCGGUGGAAAAAUUCGCCUUGUCCGGGAGCGGGGUUGUAGUUCUUGUCGAUCAGA